UCUCUUCAAGAAUGUAAAAAAGGUUCCGGACUUGAGGCAAAUGUUUGUUGGAAUAAGUGGUGAUUUCCUGAACGUGCUUUUAAUGGAGAUGAGACAGACCUAUUUUUAAGGGGAGUGUUAAUGCUGCAGUGGAUGAGACACAGCACAGAGCACACAGGAGGGACAAGCAGGAAAGCUGACGGCGUGUGUAGGUCUGAGUCUCGUUAGGAAUGCAGAAACCCGUCACUCACUGUAGAGCUAAUCGAGGUCCGAGUCUGGAGAUUAGAUCAGACAGUGAGAACACACUGACUGUCCUGCUGAAGAUGCUCUUAUUUUCCCUCGUCUAUGUUGUGUUCAGACAAGAUUCGCUCGUUUACAUUAUUUCUCUUUUCAUCUCCAUGAUUUAAUCGUUCGACCGAGCGAAACAGGCUCAUCUCCUCAGACAGACUCGUCGCUUGUAAGACGAGAUAAGAGACGAGAUAAGAGACGAGAUCAAGAAGUCAUUACCGGCGCUAUACGUUUGCCGUGAUUCUCUCACAAAAGCAGCCAAACUGAAGAUCGACGAAACGAACUCUAACGUACAAACAGAGAGCAGCGAGAUAAUAGACAUUACUCACUCACUCACUCACUCACUCAUUUUCUACCGCUUAUUCAAACUACCUCGGGUCAUCUCAGGCAUCAUCGGGCAUCGAGGCAGGAUACACCCUGGAUGGAGUGCCAACCCAUCAC